ACACACACGGUCACCCCUAUGUCCCACACACACACACGUCCUCUUGAGUUGUCAGAUAUAUCUGUCACAUAUACUGUAUGUUGAUAAUGGAUUGGGUUUAUGUAGUGUUUAUAACUGUCACAUAUACUGUAUGUUGAUAAUGGAUUGGGUUUAUGUAGUGUUUUUCAUCAGGUCUCAAGGUACAUUGUGUAUAUAGUAUAGCAUUCACCACCGAUGUUUAGCACCCACCUGGGUGAUACACAACAGCUAUUUUGCAGCUACGUUCUGGUAAUAACAGUAGCAGCCUUUCCUUCCCCAGGCAAGCCUUGAAUGUCCCAGACUCCCUGUUCCUGCUGGAGGAGGCAGAGGGGGCACAGGACCUUUGAGCACGAGCUGCCUAGUCCCUAUAGGAUUCCUCAGCCAUGGCAGCUGAUGCGGAGCAUGACUCAAGAGUGCCCCCUAGGGACCAGUCCUAGAACUGCACCAGAGGACGGAGUUUGAAGGAGCUGAGCUUCCUGAAGCCACAUGCAAAGAGAUUGACAUGCUUCUGGAGCAGCAGGACCAAUUCCAUGAUGGUGAGAGAAGAGGGAGAGCAAAGAGUUAGGAGAGAUAAUAAGAGCUAUAGAAACGGAAGAGGCGGGGUCGCAGACGGCAGGUGCAGAUCUCCCAGGAUGACAUACGGAUGUAGAUCAAGGACAACAAGGCUGAGACUCUGCCCCUGCCUCAGGUGCUGAUAAACCUCCCUACCCAGAAGCUCCUCAGCAGAGCUCUACAGCGCCCCCCUCUGGCUUGUGCCGCCCUCACAAUGCUCACUCGCUCCUGGGAGAGACGCAGCGGGGAGGAGACGGAGGAGGAGGGAAGGUCCGAGCUGGACAGAGAGAUGGAGAGGGGGAGG